rnacentral:lncRNA from 1 species
AUUCUCCCCACUAAUGAAGAAUUUGUUCCCGAAUUCGGCUCCUGAACCGACUGUCCAAUACAAUCCUAAAUAAACUUUGGAUAAUCAAUCCUCAUCUAAGUGUCGGCCUCCCAGGUUUCCUCCUGGAUCUCGUCUAUCUCCCAACGAACUUUAACCAAACUGGUCAUCAUCCCCUGAACAGCUUUCACUUCCGAUCUAUAAUCUCAACUGGCUGACAAGGUGCAGACAAAUUUUUCUCAAGAUCACUGGGCGGCUGCUGCAAAAUGAGCUCUGGC